UUGUGCCUACGGGGGGCAGCAGUGGGGAAUAUUGCACAAUGGGGGAAACCCUGAUGCAGCGACGCCGCGUGAGUGAAGAAGUAUUUCGGUAUGUAAAGCUCUAUCAGCAGGGAAGAAAAUGACGGUACCUGACCAAGAAGCCCCGGCUAACUACGUGCCAGCAGCCGCGGUAAUACGUAGGGAGCAAGCGUUGUCCGGAUUUACUGGGUGUAAAGGGUGCGUAGGCGGGCUUGCAAGUCAGAAGUGAAAUCUAUGGGCUUAACCCAUAAACUGCUUUUGAAACUGUAAGUCUUGAGUGAAGUAGA
rnacentral:rRNA from 1 species